rnacentral:rRNA from 1 species
AUACGUAGGUGGCAAGCGUUGUCCGGAAUUACUGGGUGUAAAGGGCGUGUAGGCGGGGAUGCAAGUCAGAUGUGAAAUUCCGGGGCUCAACCCCGGCACUGCAUCUGAAACUGUGUCUCUUGAGUGCUGGAGAGGAAAGCGGAAUUCCUAGUGUAGCGGUGAAAUGCGUAGAUAUUAGGAGGAACACCAGGGGCGAAGGCGGCUUUCUGGACAGUAACUGACGCUGAGGCGCGAAAGCGUGGGUAGCGAACAGGAUUAGAUACCCUGGUAGUCCACGCCGUAAACGAUGGAUACUAGGUGUAGGAGGUAUCGACCCCUUCUGUGCCGGAGUUAACACAAUAAGUAUCCCACCUGGGGAGUACGGCCGCAAGGUUGAAACUCAAAGGAAUUGACGGGG